AUGCAAGUCGAGCGGUAGAGAGAAGCUUGCUUCUCUUGAGAGCGGCGGACGGGUGAGUAAUGCCUAGGAAUCUGCCUGGUAGUGGGGGAUAACGUCCGGAAACGGACGCUAAUACCGCAUACGUCCUACGGGAGAAAGCAGGGGACCUUCGGGCCUUGCGCUAUCAGAUGAGCCUAGGUCGGAUUAGCUAGUUGGUGGGGUAAUGGCUCACCAAGGCGACGAUCCGUAACUGGUCUGAGAGGAUGAUCAGUCACACUGGAACUGAGACACGGUCCAGACUCCUACGGGAGGCAGCAGUGGGGAAUAUUGGACAAUGGGCGAAAGCCUGAUCCAGCCAUGCCGCGUGUGUGAAGAAGGUCUUCGGAUUGUAAAGCACUUUAAGUUGGGAGGAAGGGCAGUAAAUUAAUACUUUGCUGUUUUGACGUUACCGACAGAAUAAGCACCGGCUAACUCUGUGCCAGCAGCCGCGGUAAUACAGAGGGUGCAAGCGUUAAUCGGAAUUACUGGGCGUAAAGCGCGCGUAGGUGGUUCGUUAAGUUGGAUGUGAAAUCCCCGGGCUC
rnacentral:rRNA from 1 species